CUUUUGAAGGCAUUGCACACAAGCCUCAUGAAACCACUGCUUACAUUUGCAGCACUGUAGCAUCUUCAAAUACCAGCUAUUAAAAAAAACAAAAAAGUUAACACUAAAACUCAGCCUCCCAAGUAACUGGAACCACAGGCGUGUGUGUCACCAUGCCUAUUUUUUUUUUUUUUUUUGUAGCGACAGGAUCUCCCUGUGUUGCCCAAGCUGGUCUCAAAUUCCUGGGCUCAAGCAAUCCUCCUGCCUGGGCCUCCCAAAGCACUGGGAUUGCAGACAUAAGGCACUGCGCCCAGCUGUUUGCUUCUUGGUACACUUCGUUGAAGGUGGUCUCCCAUAGCUUCUGGGUUGGGAAGAAAACUACUAAACCCACUCCUCACUGAAAUAUGCCAUAACGCAGGUUUCAGAUUCAUUUAUUCAUUUUUAUAGCAACUAUAAGUUUCAUAUGUGCUAAUAUCAGGGUGCUAAGAAGAGUUAAAUGACCAGGAGCAAUCCUUUGUAAUUCCAAGAACAGCAAAAGGAACCAGUGAAGAAAGAACAACCACAGAACAUUAAACUGACAUACUGAGUGCAGGACUUAUAGAACCCCUCACACAACAACUUUCUAUCUCUAUGUAACAUUGGUUUUCUUCUUUUCUACCACUUUUAAAAGCAGAGGAGAAGUAGAAAGGAGGAAGUAGACAAAAGGACAGACAGACCUAUUACAUUAAAUCCACAGGAAACUCCAAAAGAUCUUCAAAAGCUGAAAGAAACACAUAGCUAAUGGCUGCUAUUACAGAGAGACCUAUGUUUACAAAAUAAGGAAAAAAGAAUAAUUUUGUGUGCAGGGUAGUAAGAUCUGCUCAAUAUUAGUAGUGUUGGAGAUCUCCUAUCCCUUUAAAUCUUAUGAGUCACACUUUUCUCUGGCUCCUCAAUUUCAGAUUCAAAAUGUAAUUUUAGUCCUUUAAACUUAUCAGUCCAGGAACCAUAAAAAGUUUCUCCAGAAAAACAUUUUACCAGAGUAAAAGCUACUUAGUUCCCCACCUAAGCCCUGAGUACCAACUAUACAGAUGGUAAUUAGAACAUUCCAAUUCCUUUACCAAAACUUUUUUUAUUCUUUAAGAAACAUUAAGAGUAAAGUCAAGAACUAAAACAUGGCAGAAACCUACCAUAAAAUUGAACUUGGUAUUCAAAUAUAAAACCCAAUUGUUAAAUACUUUGGCAAGGUGUCUACCCUUUAGGGAGAAAAUUUAUCUCUUUUCUAUGAGAAUACACAAAACACGGGUCUUAGUGUAGGCCUAUUAACCCAGCAAAAGGAAAACCAAAAGUAGGGCUUUAAUGAACAGCUAAAAUACUCAGGCUUUUAGUAGAGAUUGUAAUUUUUAAAAGUACUUUGCAUGAAAGAGGUACCUGGUAAAACAUCUAUAUUUAGCAGAUGCUAAAAGCAUGAAACAAUCAUGGUUUCUAAUAAUAGAAAUCAUCACAAGAAGCAUACCUAUAACCAAACCAAGGCAUACUUUCAUUCAUUUUUAUUGGCACACAAAUAUAGCCUCAUUUUCCCAUUUAAACAUAAAAAACCCAUAACUAAAUGGUAAUUUUAAACCAUUCUUAUUAACGAAUAUUUCUAUUAUUCUAAAUCAGUUUUAUAUGUCCUAAUUUCCCAAAUCAUCUGACAAACAGUAUGCUCCCAAUAAACACUUGCUUUCUACAAAUAUAAGCAAGCAACAGUUGAAUUGAAUCCCAAACCGUUACUGAGAUUAGUUACUAAAGAUUUUUCUUCAAAGUUCUUAGAAGGGUCUUAACAUAGCUUACAGGUAUAAAUUAGUGAUGCAUCUGUCCUCUAGAGUAUUCUUGUUCUUCUUAUGGUCUAUAAUAACGACUAUGCUGAUUUUUUAACCUCUCCUAGGAAGUAAUACUGAGUUAUCUAAAUACACUGUAUUCAACAGACAACAUCAUAAUAUGACAAGUUGAAGAAAAUCAAAUUUUAAUUUAAAUCAUGUUCAAGAGAAAUAGUAGCACCUGCCUGUUUGAAUGUCCUUCCAGAGAACCCAGGAUUUAGAACUGUCUUCAAAUAUGAUGAAGCAGCUCUGUUUCAAUAUGUUUAUCUGCAAUACAGAGAAAUACUUAACGGUGAUCUCUUAAAAUUAAAAACAUGAAGUUAAAUUUAAGAUUAUUAAAUGCUUACUGCAAAAACAGCAAAAGAUACAUUAAAGUAACUUGCCUUUUUGAUAGUGCCAAGAUAAAACAAGCCAUCUGACCAUCUAGCUAGGACAUCCUGACCCUCUUCAAAUUUACAUGCUGGCUUUUUGGCUUUAUGUCCAUCCUGUAAAGACAGCUUGGUCAAGGAUGUUGGGGUCUUUUGGUUUCGACGUAAAGGAGACCGCUUGUGGACCAGUGAAUUACCUGCCCCUGUAGAGUCUCUGUUUAGAGAAUAAAAGACCAUACAUAAGACUUACUUGUAGAGCUUAUUUUAUACCAGUGGGAUAUUUUAUAUGUUAAUCAAAGUUUUAAAUUUGUUAAAAACCUUAAGACAAAAAUAUAAAAAGUACCUCAAAUCAUAAAUACUCUCCAAACAAAGCAGUUUAAAACAAAAUGAUAACAAUUCUCAAUAUCCAUUCAUUGCCUACUCUAAGUGAGGCCAAGACUCAGCAAACACUCCAAGAUAACACAUUCAAGGCAGCUGCCAUCAAAAUAACAGCUUUAUGUUGAGGUAUGCAGGCCAUGAUCAUGAGCAAAUAAUGUCUUGAAUCUCAUGACUGGGUUUAGGUAAAGAAUAAAAGUGAAUUACAUUUUAAUCUCUUGAUUAUGCCACAUGCAGUUAAGACACAUUAACCAGUGACUUCAAGGGACAGCUGGUGUUAUUCACACUCUUCACACUCAAAGGAAGGGCAGUCAUGACCUUCUCCUUACAGGGAAUCACCACUGAAUUGAGCAAAUAUGCAGACUGAGAGUUUAAAAAAAAAAACAUUGAGAACCAGCAGCCUGCUAUAUGCCAGGUACCAUGCCAGGUGUUAAGAGAGACAAAUGUGGAAAGAUACAGUACAUACCACCAAGGAACAUAGCCUUUGUAGAGAAACACGUGUGCACACCAAAAAAACUAUAUGCAGUGUAAUUCCUAUAAUGAAUAAACACAAGAAGAAUAACAAGUUUAAAUUAUCUCUUUCAUCCAAGAAAGGAUGUCUGCUAGGCAAAAUAUUUACAAAAACUGACCAUAUACUGAUCUAUAAAGCAAGUCUCAACAGGGAGGCCGAGACAGGCAGAUCACCUGAGGUCGGGAAUUCGAGACCAACCUGAUCAACUUGGAGAAACCCCGUCUCUACUAAAAAUACAAAAAUUAGCCAGGUGUGGUGGCACAUGCCUGUAAUCCCAGCUACUCGGGAGGCUGAGACAGGAGAAUCG
rnacentral:lncRNA from 10 species